ACACUCGAAGGAAGUUGCACGCCAAAUGCAAAACCUCCAGCGAGCUGGAUUUCUUUGCACUUUUUUUUUAUUAUUAUGAUUAAGGAAAGCAGGGGGCGGCAGGCUUAAAAGCAAGUUGCAGGCGAAAUAGUAAGUUGCUGGCGAAAUAUAGCCCCCCUUCCGAAACUCCUGACCUCUUCUUCCACCCCGGCCAGGGCCCGCGUCCAAGUUCCCGGUGCAGGCCCCACCCCCGAAUCUUGACAUUUGCUGCCCUCGACUCUGUGCGUUGCUCACCCUAUCACGUUCAUAGGACCCCUGCCCCUACAAAUAAAACAAAAUACAGGCAGCUUUAAAAUGCCAGCGUUCAACUCCCUACAGAUGUUCCUGUUAGGAGCUUCCCCCUCAGUCCAAGGGGAAGGGAACUCGUGGUCCGUCCUGAGAAAGGAGAGGGCCGUGGGGCGAGGGGUGCCCGUGCGGGAAGCCCCCGCCCCAGCUCCCUUCCCCAGCUCGCCGCGUCGGGAAGGCUUGGACGAUGCCGGGACCGAGCCUCCUACCUUGUGCGGCACAGAUUAUGAUUUUUGUGACUCUGGGAAAGGUUGUGCUGUGUGGGUUUAGGGUUUGGGGAGGUAACUUUUGCGCCCCCACAGGUGACAUCGCUUGCCAGCUCCUGACACGGGCGGGGGCUGCCGCAGCUCCACCUAAUCCUGCUCGGGCGCUCGGCCACAGCCACUCUCUCACCUCCCGCCGCGCUCAGACUGACGGCGGCUCCCCCUGCUCUGACAUCUUGAAGACGAUUGGGGAAGCGCGUCCCGGAAGCCGCCCGCCGCCAUCUUGGUAGGGUACAGUGUCGCCAGCCCGUCCCCGCGGCCACCAUCUUGGCAAAGGUUCGCGAUCGCGGGUAGCCUAAGCCGUCCUUCCUUGGUUCUCAAGGGUAAACGGUUCCCUGUGCAUUGUCUGAUGUGAAAGGAAAGAAGUAGGCUUUCAGCAAGCCUCUUGUCCGGAGACGAUCUACGGGGGCCGCCUCCAGAGGAUUCUGGAGCCGCCAUCUUGGCAAAGGAAGAGAUACUCGCCACCUCGGAAAAGAAGAGGGAACCAACCGUAUGCCAACGUAGAACCCUCAGCCAGAAGAAUUUUUAUGAAGGGCGCUGAGCAACUCCAUGUUAACAAAACCCCCUUCUGGACCCAGAAGGCAGACUCCGCUUCUCCUGUCCCUUGGCACAAGUCAACUAGAAGGAGGCCCUUGCUUUGGAUGCUCAUCUGUGAGGCUAUGAGAACACUGCUUGACCUAGUUGCCCGUUUUUCCAAUUUCUGAGCCUCAAGCACUAGAAUGAGAUGUCUUUCGUUAAUUUGGCCCCUAAACUACCAACAGUUUCAUGGGAAACAAAUCAAGA
rnacentral:lncRNA from 1 species